CCUACGGGUGGCAGCAGUAGGGAAUCUUCGGCAAUGGACGAAAGUCUGACCGAGCAACGCCGCGUGAGUGAAGAAGGUUUUCGGAUCGUAAAACUCUGUUGGUAGAGAAGAACGUUGGUGAGAGUGGAAAGCUCAUCAAGUGACGUUAACUACCCAGAAAGGUACGGCUAACUACGGCCCAGCAGCGGCGGUAAUAGGUGGGUCCCGAGCGUUGUCCGGAUUUAUUGGGGGAAAGGGGAGGUCAGGGGGUUGUUUAAGUCUGGGGUAAAUGGCAGUGGCGAAACCAUUGAAUGCAUUGGAUACUGGCAGACGUGAGUGCAGGAGAGGAGGGUGGAAUUCGAGGUGUAGCGGUGAAAUGCGUAGAUAUAUGGAGGAACACCGGUGGCGAAAGCGGCUCUCUGGCCUGUAACUGACACUGAGGCUCGAAAGCGUGGGGAGCAAACAGGAUUAGAUACCCGAGUAGUC
rnacentral:rRNA from 1 species